rnacentral:rRNA from 1 species
UACGUAGGGACCAAGCGUUGUUCGGAUUUACUGGGCGUAAAGGGCGCGUAGGCGGCUUGUCAAGUCACUUGUGAAAUCUCUGGGCUUAACCCAGAACGGCCAAGUGAAACUGACAUGCUAGAGUGCAGAAGGGGCAAUCGGAAUUCUUGGUGUAGCGGUGAAAUGCGUAGAUAUCAAGAGGAACACCUGAGGUGAAGACGGGUUGCUGGGCUGACACGUGACGUGAGGCGCGAAAGCCAGGGGAGCAAACGGGG